rnacentral:rRNA from 1 species
AACGAACGCUGGCGGCAGGCUUAACACAUGCAAGUCGAGCGCAUCCUUCGGGGUGAGCGGCAGACGGGUGAUUAACGCGUGGGAAUCUACCUUUUGCUACGGAAUAGCUCCGGGAAACUGGAAUUAAUACCGUAUGUGCCCUUAGGGGGUAAGAUUUAUCGGCAAGAGAUGAGCCCGCGUUGGAUUAGCUAGUUGGUGGGGUAAAGGCCUACCAAGGCGACGAUCCAUAGCUGGUCUGAGAGGAUGAUUAGCCACAUUGGGACUGAGACACGGCCCAAACUCCUACGGGAGGCAGCAGUAGGGAAUAUUGGACAAUGGGCGCAAGCCUGAUACAGCCAUGCCGCGUGAGUGAUGAAGGCCUUAGGGUUGUAAAGCUCUUUCACCGGAGAAGAUAAUGACGGUAUCCGGAGAAGAAGCCCCGGCUAACUUCGUG